rnacentral:rRNA from 1 species
CUUGCAUCAUGAUUUACAUUUGAGUGAGUGGCGAACUGGUGAGUAACACGUGGGAAACCUGCCCAGAAGCGGGGGAUAACACCUGGAAACAGAUGCUAAUACCGCAUAACAACUUGGACCGCAUGGUCCGAGCUUGAAAGAUGGCUUCGGCUAUCACUUUUGGAUGGUCCCGCGGCGUAUUAGCUAGAUGGUGGGGUAACGGCUCACCAUGGCAAUGAUACGUAGCCGACCUGAGAGGGUAAUCGGCCACAUUGGGACUGAGACACGGCCCAAACUCCUACGGGAGGCAGCAGUAGGGAAUCUUCCACAAUGGACGAAAGUCUGAUGGAGCAACGCCGCGUGAGUGAAGAAGGGUUUCGGCUCGUAAAACUCUGUUGUUAAAGAAGAACAUAUCUGAGAGUAACUGUUCAGGUAUUGACGGUAUUUAACCAGAAAGCCACGGCUAACUACGUGCCAGCAGCCGCGGUAAUACGUAGGUGGCAAGCGUUGUCCGGAUUUAUUGGGCGUAAAGCGAGCGCAGGCG